rnacentral:rRNA from 1 species
UUACGGGAGGCAGCAGUGGGGAAUAUUGGACAAUGGGCGAAAGCCUGAUCCAGCCAUGCCGCGUGUGUGAAGAAGGCCUUUUGGUUGUAAAGCACUUUAAGCGGGGAGGAGGGCACCACGGUUAAUACCCGUGAAUGUCGGACGUUACCCGCAGAAUAAGCACCGGCUAACUCUGUGCCAGCAGCCGCGGUAAUACAGAGGGUGCGAGCGUUAAUCGGAAUUACUGGGCGUAAAGCGCGCGUAGGCGGCUUGUUAAGUCAAAUGUGAAAUCCCCGAGCUUAACUUGGGCAUUGCAUUCGAUACUGGCAAGCUAGAGUAUGGGAGAGGAAGGUAGAAUUCCAGGUGUAGCGGUGAAAUGCGUAGAGAUCUGGAGGAAUACCGAUGGCGAAGGCAGCCUUCUGGCCUAAUACUGACGCUGAGGUGCGAAAGCAUGGGGAGCAAACAGGAUUAGAUACCCGGGUAGUCCG